CUGGGCCAUAACUGACGCUGAGAAGCGAAAGCAUGGGGAGCGAACAGGAUUAGAUACCCUGGUAGUCCAUGCCGUAAACGUUGGGCGCUAGGUGUGGGACUCAUUCCACGAGUUCCGUGCCGCAGCUAACGCAUUAAGCGCCCCNCCUGGGGAGUACGGCCGCAAGGCUAAAACUCAAAGGAAUUGACGGGGGCCCGCACAAGCGGCGGAGCAUGCGGAUUAAUUCGAGCAACG
rnacentral:rRNA from 1 species